CCUACGGGAGGCAGCAGUGGGGAAUAUUGGGCAAUGGGCGGAAGCCUGACCCAGCAACGCCGCGUGAAGGAAGAAGGCCCUCGGGUUGUUAACUUCUUUUCUAUAGGACGUAGAAGUGACGGUACUAUAGGAAUAAGCCACGGCUAAAUACGUGCCAGCAGCCGCGGUAAUACGUAGGUGGCGAGCGUUAUCCGGAUUUAUUGGGUGUAAAGGGCGUGUAGGCGGGACUGCAAGUCAGAUGUGAAAAUUAUGGGCUCAACCCAUAACCUGCAUUUGAAACUGUCGUUCUUGAGUGAUGGAGAGGCAGGCGGAAUUCCGUGUGUAGCGGUGAAAUGCGUAGAUAUACCGAAGAACACCGAUGGCGAAGGCGGCCUGCUGGACAUUAACUGACGCUGAGGCGCGAAAGCGUGGGGAGCAAACAGGAUUAGAUACCCCUGUAGUC
rnacentral:rRNA from 1 species